rnacentral:rRNA from 1 species
GACAGAGGAUGCAAGCGUUAUCCGGAAUGAUUGGGCGUAAAGCGUCUGUAGGUGGCUUUUAAGUCCGCCGUCAAAUCCCAGGGCUCAACCCUGGACAGGCGGUGGAAACUACCAAGCUGGAGUACGGUAGGGCAGAGGGAAUUUCCGGUGGAGCGGUGAAAUGCGUAGAGAUCGGAGAGAACACCAACGGCGAAAGCACUCUGCUGGCCGACACUGACACUGAGAGACGAAAGCUAGGGGAGCGAAUGGG